GAACCCCUAAAAUCAACGCGUACUGUUGUUCUUCUCCGAAGAAUACGCGAACCAAGCCCCAAAUUCCGUUCAAAUCCGGGCGAGUGAAUCCCAAAUCCCUAAUUCACGCAUCCCUUCUUCUCUCAUCUCACCAUUUAUGAUGAUUUCUGACACUAAAGAUUCUCCCCCUUCACUCGCUCAAGUCGGAGAUGAAGCACGCAAUUGGAAGGUCCUAGAGAUGGAUUGUUGGAUGAGGAUAAGUCGUUGGAUUGACUUCGUUCAAUCCCAGCCCCAUUUUCAUCAAGGGUUCGUCUCUAUAAAGGACGAUAUCCGAUUUUAAGAGCUGGGUUUUUUUUUGGACGAGAGGAUCUGAAGGGAGAUUCGAGAGGAAGUAAAAUUCUAGAGAUUAGUCUUCUUCAUAUUUAUUGUUGGUCUUCACUCGUAGCGUUAAUUUACAAACAUAUACAAAAAUGUUUGAUAUUUUUUUAUUUUAAUGUUGUUCGGUUCACUAUCGACCAACUUCGAAAUACAUGAAUUCCGUCGUCAAAGUUACUGGAAUUCGUUGUUGAUCGAGGCAUCGAUUUGUGGCUGUUGCACUGUGUCGAUUUCAAGUGUUGAGAUUCCUUCAAAUUUUUUCAUCCCAGGUUCACCUCUACUCCUUAUUUUAUUUCUAUUAUGAAGUGAGUCCUGGAAGGCCCUGGACGGAUUGUAAAAUGAAUUCAGUUAUGAUAGUAGAUGAGGUUUGUAUGGUUAUCUUCAAUUUCAUUUAUUGUUAUGCUUUUACGUUUUCCAUGAGUUCAUAUGUUAUUGAGUCAGUUUCUAAAUAGUCGAAGAUUAAAUGUGUUUGGUUUCAACAUCGUAUUUGUGUUUGUAUUGACUUUGUAGAUUGUUUUUGGUAUCAUCUUUCGGAUUAGACUUGCUUCGAACAUGACUCAUGCUGAUGUUGCAAACUUGGUAGAUUGGUAUCCUUAUAUAGUGUCAAGGUUGUUUCCCUGUUGCAUCUGUUCGAGAAUAAGCUUUGAUGAGCAUAAAUUGCUGAUGUUUGAAUCAUGAAUGAGUGUUUAAGUCGCCUUUGAGAUGCUGAGAAUUGGAUACCAUCAUAUAACCUAGAUUCUAACUGUCACCAAUUCUUCUCGUUUUCUCUCUUUGCUAGUUUUGGUUUUC
rnacentral:lncRNA from 1 species